GUGAAGUGGCAGCUUGAUGUUAGACAACUUUUAUUCUCAGAUGCAUUUGUGCUGGAAACUAGAGUUAAUGCACAGUCCGCUGGUGUGAUUUUCUGGGCUUUUAUUCUAUCUGGUCUUUGAAGGUUUAACCAUGUUCUCUGGGAGUCUUGUUGUGGUGCUGCUGGUCCUCCUCCUGUGCAGGCGUGUCCUGUGGCAUGGACUGUGCAUCUUCAUCGGUCAGAAAUUGUUCAAGAGACCUGCAAGGGCUGGUGGAAUUGCCAGUGGAAGGCUGCCUAGAGAAGUGAAAAAUGAAUGAUUGCCCUGAGAUGAACAUCUUUGGACUGUUGGAGGACACCAGAGGAAGAUCCCCACACAGGCUGGCCACACAGUGAGGGCCAGGGUGUCAACAGCCUCUGGGCCUCCAUGCUGCCCACAUUUUCAACUAAUCACAUCCUCCGUAGUGGUGGAAAGUGGGUUGCGCAACAGCUGUGAUACUCUCAUAUUGAUAACUGCCAUUGUUUAAACCUCAUUUUAGGCAGCAAUAUUAUUAUAAUACAUUCAAUUUAACAUGUACACUCUGAAUGCAUGUAUGCAUACAUAUGUAUAUUCAUUUGUAUAUUUUGAUGUACUACUUGAUGUUGUCAUUCCAUGGAUAGCAGAACCCUGUUUUUACCCCCAUUUUUUGUCACUAUUGGUAUUUGUCUUGUCUCAUUAUAGUAAUUUACUAGAGGUCAUAUAUUAUCCUCUGUAUUUACCUUCACCACCACUGAAAUAUACCUCCGUGUUCUUUUGUUUUUGCCAUUCUGCUGAUGAACCAAGACCAACAGUUAUUGUUCCUCUCUUGUUUUCACAGGGAGGAAAAGUGAAAUUCAAUUGUUCACACCCUUGAGUGCAAGGAAGAGGCUGUGAAUCAACAUGUAGGCAUAUUGUUCUGGUUAGGGACUGAGUGACAUUUUUAUGAGGAGAGGUUACUGAGAGAGAGAAGCAUUAGUCUAAACUCUCUGAAACCUGUAUGACUAUCAUGUUUUGUCUUAGGAAUGCAUAGAAGUUCCUGGGUUUGAGAUUGAACAUACUUCCCAGCAAAUGAGUUCUCUUGAGUCUCUGGCAGGUGAUGAAUAUGACAUUGCUAAUGCAAUGAUGGUCCCCACUGUCACAGUCAUCCUGUGUUAAAGUGCGCAUAGGUAGUGUUGUUAAACCUCUAAAUAAAUUGAGCAAAAAAGCAAAUAAACAUCUUCACAAAAACUCCAGGAACACAGUUCACCAGUCUAUCACAGAAUUACAAAAAAACUAGAUCAGGGGAAAUAAUUCACUUUCGCGCUGAGAUUAAGGUGAGAGGAUUGAUAUCGAUAUGUAUGUGUAUCGACAUGUAGAGCUGCAGCCAGACGGCAGUUAGCCUGGCUUACCUUAAAGACUGGAAGAAUGGGGAAACAGCCAGCCUGACUUUUAACAAAAAAUGCUCACAGCACAUAACUAUUAAUAAGCUUAAAAGGUGUGGGUACUGUAGGUAUAUUUUCUCAGCUUGGACAUAGCAAGGCUAGCUGUUUACCAGGCUUUCAGUCUUUAUGCUAAGCUAGGCUAAUUGCCUUCAAGCUUGAGCUCCAUACUUAAUGCACAGACAUGAAAAUCAUAUUCAUAUUUUCACUUAACUCUUGAAAAGAGUGUGAAUAUGUUCAUUAUCCCCAAAUGUUGAAAAAAGUUUUAAACAAACUCAAAAUAAAGCAAACAGAAAUGAAAAAAAUCACAUUCAUACAGGCCUUUCCAUGUAUUUACAUGGACAGUGAAGGAAGUUUUGCGAGGAAGUUACCCUCUAAUUUACACAAAAGACGAGGAUGAGAAAAGCAAAAAACACAUGACAUUUUACAACUUUAAGCAUGUAAGAAUGUGUUUUUGUCAUGCAGAGAAGAAUCCGCUUUUUGUGUUAAAUCAACAGGUAUGGAUGAGGAGAUGUGUUUGGAAUGUGGUGGACAGAUGUCAACAUAAAGGCUCUGAGCCCAGGAGAGGAGGAGCAUGAGGAGGAGGAGGGGGAGUUGGCACGAGAGGGCGCAAAGAAUGGCCUUGGCUCUUUGAAAGUGAAUUUCUCUCCCUGAAGCUGGAGAUUACCAGGCCCUUCAGUGCUAAUGGCUGCUACAAAUGGCCAUAGAUAAGACUGGGAAGACUUAGGAGAGAGAGAGAGAGAGAGAGAGAGAGAGGGGAAGUUAUCUUAAAACAGCACUGAGGCUGCUGUCAUUUUAUCUGUCUUCAGUUGUUUGUCCCUAUCACUGUCUUACAGAUUUUGUGAAUAUUUUGCUCAAAAUUCUAAAACAAAUCUUGUCAUAAAACUCAACUUGUACACACUCAGAAUGCAACAAAAAUCUAGUAAUACACCAGUCUCUCAGAAAGGUUGCAUUAAGAGGUUGUUUCAGUAGAGAUGUGAAAUGUGUUGUGUGGUGUGUAAUGGGUGCUGCACCGAGUCUGUGUAUUUGAAGGAUUUUGUUCUGAAAGGGUGAUGUGUGUGAUCUUGAACAUAGAGAUUUGUACAUUUAGUGUGAGUUAGGUUUAUGUGACUGUUGCUUUAGGGAAGUGGCGUAAAAGAUUAAUAAUAUGUCUCAGGACAUUUGACAGACAUGACUGCAUCAACAGCAACUCUCCUCUGUGUCAGUCAAAUAUCUUAGGUCCUCUUAACAUGGACAAUUACAGUUCAGCAUUCAAUAGUACAUAAAAUCCAGAUGCACUGUUGUGUCUCUUUUCUUUUUAAUCUUGGAACUAAACACAAUGAAAUACAAAUCAAAUGAAGUUAAUGUGUUUGGGUUCCAGGAAACACCACAAUCUCAGCUCAAAACCAUACUAAUCAUCAUUUUGAAACUUCUACAUCUGAAAUUGUAAGUAUACUGAAAAAUGAACUCAGUAGAACGUUUUAACUGAGAUUCUUUAUAAUUUGAAUCUAUCAAACGAUAAUCAAUAGACUGUGAUUGGAGCUUACGACUCUGUUUCUAUUAUUCUGUCCACUGAAAGCCCUCUGCUUCAACACACACACACACAUCUCUCUGUCGGUGCCCUCUUAUAUCUUUGUUGCCUCCAAAGGUCAUUAAAACACUGUUAAGAUUC